AUGGGUUCCAAUAGUUGUGUGGGCAUAGGGUGUUGUCUCAGCCACUAUGUUUUCUGCAAUUGUGACUAGAGAACACCCUGAUAGCUCAGUUGGUAGAGCGGAGGGCUGUAGGAUGUUCCUCAUCUGAAACGCUCUGAUCCUGAAGUCGCCGGUUCAACUCCAGCUCCAAGCCUGUCCAUGUCAAAUUGAAAUAAAGCCAAGCCUUGUCUUUAUCUGUCAACUCCUCCAAUAUUUAAAAACACAUAACUUAAUUUUCCAACCAUCAAUUUUUUAUUCACCCAGCCUAAAAGUCUUGAUUAUCAGUUCUGGGUCCCUGGCAAUGACUGUUGGGUACAAACUGCAAAGCUUUGUUCUGCAGGUAGGGCUGGGCUUUUGAUUGACUAUGGGUUACAAUAGUUGUGUGGGCAUAGGGUGUUGUCUCAGCCACUAUGUUUUCUGCAAUUGUGACUAGAGAACACCCUGAUAGCUCAGUUGGUAGAGCGGAGGGCUGUAGCAUGUUCCUCAUCUGAAACGCUGUGAUCCUGAAGUCGCUGGUUCAACUCCAGCUCCAAGCCUGUGCAUGUUAAAAUUGAAAUAAAGCCAAGCCUUGUCUUUAUCUGUCAACUCCUCCAAUAUUUAAAAACACAAACAACAUAACUUAAUUUUCCAACCAUCAGUUUUUUAUUCACCCAGCCUAAAAGUCUUGAUUAUCAGUUCUGGGUCCCUGGCAAUGACUGUUGGGUACAAACUGCAAAGCUUUGUUCUGCAGGUAGGGCUGGGCUUUUGAUUGACUAUGGGUUCCAAUAGUUGUGUGGGCAUAGGGUGUUGUCUCAGCCACUAUGUUUUCUGCAAUUGUGACUAGAGAACACCCUGAUAGCUCAGUUGGUAGAGCGGAGAGCUGUAGGAUGUUCCUCAUCGGAAACGCUGUGAUCCUGAAGUCCCCGGUUCAACUCCAGCUCCAAGCCUGUGCAUGUCAAAUUGAAAUAAAGCCAAGCCUUGUCUUUAUCUGUCAACUCCUCCAAUAUUUAAAAACACAAACCACAUAACUUAAUUUUCCAACCAUCAAUUUUUUAUUCACCCAGCCUAAAAGUCUUGAUUAUCAGUUCUGGGUCCCUGGCAAUGACUGUUGGGUACAAACUGCAAAGCUUUGUUCUGCAGGUAGGGCUGGGCUUUUGAUUGACUAUGGGUUCCAAUAGUUGUGUGGGCAUAGGGUGUUGUCUCAGCCACUAUGUUUUCUGCAAUUGUGACUAGAGAACACCCUGAUAGCUCAGUUGGUAGAGCGGAGGGCUGUAGGAUGUUCCUCAUCUGAAAUGCUGUGAUCCUGAAGUCGCCGGUUCAACUCCAGCUCCAAGCCUGUGCAUGUCAAAUUGAAAUAAAGCCAAGCCUUGUCUUUAUCUGUCAACUCCUCCAAUAUUUAAAACCACAAACCACAUAACUUAAUUUUCCAACCAUCAGUUUUUUAUUCACCCAGCCUAAAAGUCUUGAUUAUCAGUUCUGGGUCCCUGGCAAUGACUGUUGGGUACAAGCUGCAAAGCUUUGUUCUGCAGGUAGGGCUGGGCUUUUGAUUGACUAUGGGUUCCAAUAGUUGUGUGGGCAUAGGGUGUUGUCUCAGCCACUAUGUUUUCUGCAAUUGUGACUAGAGAACAACCUGAUAGCUCAGUUGGUAGAGCGGACGGCUGUAGGAUGUUCCUCAUCUGAAACGCUGUGAUCCUGAAGUCGCCGGUUCAACUCCAGCUCCAAGCCUUUGCAUGUCAAAUUGAAAUAAAGCCAAGCCUUGUCUUUAUCUGUCAACUCCUCCAAUAUUUAAAACCACAAACCACAUAACUUAAUUUUCCAACCAUCAAUUUUUUAUUCACCCAGCCUAAAAGUCUUGAUUAUCAGUUAUGGGUCCUUGGCAAUGACUGUUGGGUACAAACUGCAAAGCUUUGUUCUGCAGGUAGGGCUGGGCUUUUGAUUGACUAUGGGUUCCAAUAGUUGUGUGGGCAUAGGGUGUUGUCUCAGCCACUAUGUUUUCUGCAAUUGUGACUAGAGAACACCCUGAUAGCUCAGUUGGUAGAGCGAAGGGCUGUAGGAUGUUCCUCAUCUGAAACGCCGUGAUCCUGAAGUCGCCGGUUCAACUCCAGCUCCAAGCCUGUGCAUGUCAAAUUGAAAUAAAGCCAAGCCUUGUCUUUAUCUGUCAACUCCUCCAAUAUUUAAAAACACAAACCACAUAACUUAAUUUUCCAACCAUCAAUUUUUUAUUCACCCAGCCUAAAAGUCUUGAUUAUCAGUUCUGGGUCCCUGGCAAUGACUGUUGGGUACAAACUGCAAAGCUUUGUUCUGCAGGUAGGGCUGGGCUUUUGAUUGACUAUGGGUUCCAAUAGUUGUGUGGGCAUAGGGUGUUGUCUCAGGCACUAUGUUUUCUGCAAUUGUGACUAGAGAACACCCUGAUAGCUCAGUUGGUAGAGCGGAGGGCUGUAGUAUGUUCCUCAUCUGAAACGCUGUGAUCCUGAAGUCGCCGGUUCAACUCCAGCUCCAAGCCUGUGCAUGUCAAAUUGAAAUAAAGCCAAGCCUUGUCUUUAUCUGUCAACUCCUCCAAUAUUUAAAACCACAAACCACAUAACUUAAUUUUCCAACCAUCAAUUUUUUAUUCACCCAGCCUAAAAGUCUUGAUUAUCAGUUCUGGGUCCCUGGCAAUGACUGUUGGGUACAAGCUGCAAAGCUUUGUUCUGCAGCUAGGGCUGGGCUUUUGAUUGACUAUGGGUUCCAAUAGUUGUGUGGGCAUAGGGUGUUGUCUCAGCCACUAUGUUUUCUGCAAUUGUGACUAGAGAACACCCUGAUAGCUCAGUUGGUAGAGCGGAGGGCUGUAGGAUGUUUCUCAUCUGAAACGCUGUGAUCCUUAAGUCGCCGGUUCAACUCCAGCUCCAAGGCUGUGCAUGUCAAAUUGAAAUAAAGCCAAGCCUUGUCUUUAUCUGUCAACUCCUCCAAUAUUUAAAAACACAUAACUUAAUUUUCCAACCAUCAAUUUUUUAUUCACCCAGCCUAAAAGUCUUGAUUAUCAGUUCUGGGCCCCUGGCAAUGACUGUUGGGUACAAGCUGCAAAGCUUUGUUCUGCAGGUAGGGCUGGGCUUUUGAUUGACUAUGGGUUCCAAUAGUUGUGUGGGCAUAGGGUGUUGUCUCAGCCACUAUGUUUUCUGCAAAUGUGACUAGAGAACACCCUGAUAGCUCAGUUGGUAGAGCGGACGGCUGUAGGAUGUUCCUCAUCUGAAACGCUGUGAUCCUGAAGUCGCCGGUUCAACUCCAGCUCCAAACCUGUGCAUGUCAAAUUGAAAUAAAGCCAAGCCUUGUCUUUAUCUGUCAACUCCUCCAAUAUUUAAAAACACAAACCACAUAACUUAAUUUUCCAACCAUCAAUUUUUUAUUCACCCAGCCUCAAAGUCUUGAUUAUCAGUUAUGGGUCCCUGGCAAUGACUGUUGGGUACAAGCUGCAAAGCUUUGUUCUGCAGGUAGGGCUGGGCUUUUGAUUGACUAUGGGUUCCAAUAGUUGUGUGGGCAUAGGGUGUUGUCUCAGCCACUAUGUUUUCUGCAAUUGUGACUAGAGAACACCCUGAUAGCUCAGUUGGUAGAGCGGAGGGCUGUAGGAUGUUUCUCAUCUGAAACACUGUGAUGAUGAAGUCGCCGGUUCAACUCCAGCUCCAAGCCUGUGCAUGUCAAAUUGAAAUAAAGCCAAGCCUUGUCUUUAUCUGUCAACUCCUCCAAUAUUUAAAAACACAUAACUUAAUUUUCCAACCAUCAAUUUUUUAUUCACCCAGCCUAAAAGUCUUGAUUAUCAGUUCUGGGUCCCUGGCAAUGACUGUUGGGUACAAGCUGCAAAGCUUUGUUCUGCAGGUAGGGCUGGGCUUUUGAUUGACUAUGGGUUACAAUAGUUGUGUGGGCAUAGGGUGUUGUCUCAGCCACUAUGUUUUCUGCAAUUGUGACUAGAGAACACCCUGAUAGCUCAGUUGGUAGAGCGGACGGCUGUAGGAUGUUCCUCAUCUGAAACGCUGUGAUCCUGAAGUCGCCGGUUCAACUCCAGCUCAAAGCCUUUGCAUGUCAAAUUGAAAUAAAGCCAAGCCUUGUCUUUAUCUGUCAACUCCUCCAAUAUUUAAAAACACAAACCACAUAACUUAAUUUUCCAACCAUCAAUUUUUUAUUCACCCAGCCUCAAAGUCUUGAUUAUCAGUUAUGGGUCCCUGGCAAUGACUGUUGGGUACAAGCUGCAAAGCUUUGUUCUGCAGGUAGGGCUGGGCUUUUGAUUGACUAUGGGUUCCAAUAGUUGUGUGGGCAUAGGGUGUUGUCUCAGCCACUAUGUUUUCUGCAAUUGUGACUAGAGAACACCCUGAUAGCUCAGUUGGUAGAGCGGAGGGCUGUAGGAUGUUUCUCAUCUGAAACGCUGUGAUCCUGAAGUCGCCGGUUCAACUCCAGCUCCAAGCCUGUGCAUGUCAAAUUGAAAUAAAGCCAAGCCUUGUCUUUAUCUGUCAACUCCUCCAAUAUUUAAAAACACAUAACUUAAUUUUCCAACCAUCAAUUUUUUAUUCACCCAGCCUAAAAGUCUUGAUUAUCAGUUAUGGGUCCCUGGCAAUGACUGUUGGGUACAAACUGCAAAGCUUUGUUCUGCAGGUAGGGCUGGGCUUUUGAUUGACUAUGGGUUCCAAUAGUUGUGUGGGCAUAGGGUGUUGUCUCAGCCACUAUGUUUUCUGCAAUUGUGACUAGAGAACACCCUGAUAGCUCAGUUGGUAGAGCGGAGGGCUGUAGCAUGUUCCUCAUCUGAAACGCUGUGAUCCUGAAGUCGCCGGUUCAACUCCAGCUCCAAGCCUGUGCAUGUUAAAAUUAAAAUAAAGCCAAGCCUUGUCUUUAUCUGUCAACUCCUCCAAUAUUUAAAACCACAAACCACAUAACUUAAUUUUCCAACCAUCAGUUUUUUAUUCACCCAGCCUAAAAGUCUUGAUUAUCAGUUCUGGGUCCCUGGCAAUGACUGUUGGGUACAAGCUGCAAAGCUUUGUUCUGCAGGUAGGGCUGGGCUUUUGAUUGACUAUGGGUUCCAAUAGUUGUGUGGGCAUAGGGUGUUGUCUCAGCCACUAUGUUUUCUGCAAUUGUGACUAGAGAACACCCUGAUAGCUCAGUUGGUAGAGCGGACGGCUGUAGGAUGUUCCUCAUCUGAAACACUGUGAUGAUGAAGUCGCCGGUUCAACUCCAGCUCCAAGCCUGUGCAUGUCAAAUUGAAAUAAAGCCAAGCCUUGUCUUUAUCUGUCAACUCCUCCAAUAUUUAAAACCACAAACCACAUAACUUAAUUUUCCAACCAUCAAUUUUUUAUUCACCCAGCCUAAAAGUCUUGAUUAUCAGUUCUGGGUCCUUGGCAAUGACUGUUGGGUACAAACUGCAAAGCUUUGUUCUGCAGGUAGGGCUGGGCUUUUGAUUGACUAUGGGUUCCAAUAGUUGUGUGGGCAUAGGGUGUUGUCUCAGCCACUAUGUUUUCUGCAAUUGUGACUAGAGAACACCCUGAUAGCUCAGUUGGUAGAGCGGAGGGCUGUAGGAUGUUUCUCAUCUGAAACGCUGUGAUCCUAAAGUCGCCGGUUCAACUCCAGCUCCAAGCCUGUGCAUGUCAAAUUGAAAUAAAGCCAAGCCUUGUCUUUAUCUGUCAACUCCUCCAAUAUUUAAAAACACAAACCACAUAACUUAAUUUUCCAACCAUCAAUUUUUUAUUCACCCAGCCUAAAAGUCUUGAUUAUCAGUUAUGGGUCCUUGGCAAUGACUGUUGGGUACAAACUGCAAAGCUUUGUUCUGCAGGUAGGGCUGGGCUUUUGAUUGACUAUGGGUUCCAAUAGUUGUGUGGGCAUAGGGUGUUGUCUCAGGCACUAUGUUUUCUGCAAUUGUGACUACAGAACACCCUGAUAGCUCAGUUGGUAGAGCGGAGGGCUGUAGGAUGUUCCUCAUCUGAAACGCUGUGAUCCUGAAGUCGCCGGUUCAACUCCAGCUCCAAGCCUGUGCAUGUCAAAUUGAAAUAAAGCCAAGCCUUGUCUUUAUCUGUCAACUCCUCCAAUAUUUAAAACCACAUAACUUAAUUUUCCAACCAUCAAUUUUUUAUUCACCCAGCCUAAAAGUCUUGAUUAUCAGUUCUGGGUCCCUGGCAAUGACUGUUGGGUACAAACUGCAAAGCUUUGUUCUGCAGGUAGGGCUGGGCUUUUGAUUGACUAUGGGUUCCAAUAGUUGUGUGGGCAUAGGGUGUUGUCUCAGCCACUAUGUUUUCUGCAAUUGUGACUAGAGAACACCCUGAUAGCUCACUUGGUAGAGCGGAGGGCUGUAGGAUGUUCCUCAUCUGAAACGCUGUGAUCCUGAAGUCGCCGGUUCAACUCUAGCUCCAAGCCUGUGCAUGUCAAAUUGAAAUAAAGCCAAGCCUUGUCUUUAUCUGUCAACUCCUCCAAUAUUUAAAACCACAAACCACAUAACUUAAUUUUCCAACCAUCAGUUUUUUAUUCACCCAGCCUAAAAGUCUUGAUUAUCAGUUCUGGGUCCCUGGCAAUGACUGUUGGGUACAAGCUGCAAAGCUUUGUUCUGCAGGUAGGGCUGGGCUUUUGAUUGACUAUGGGUUCCAAUAGUUGUGUGGGCAUAGGGUGUUGUCUCAGCCACUAUGUUUUCUGCAAUUGUGGCUAGAGAACACCCUGAUAGCUCAGUUGGUAGAGCGGACGGCUGUAGGAUGUUCCUCAUCUGAAACGCUGUGAUCCUGAAGUCGCCGGUUCAACUCCAGCUCCAAGCCUGUGCAUGUCAAAUUGAAAUAAAGCCAAGCCUUGUCUUUAUCUGUCAACUCCUCCAAUAUUUAAAAACACAAACCACAUAACCACAAUUUUUUAUUCACCCAGCCUAAAAGUCUUGAUUAUCAGUUCUGGGUCCCUGGCAAUGACUGUUGGGUACAAGCCUGUGCAUGUCAAAUUGUGUCAAAUUGCAAAGCUUUGUUCUGCAGGUAGGGCUGGGCUUUUGAUUGACUAUGGGUUCCAAUAGUUGUGUGGGCAUAGGGUGUUGUCUCAGCCACUAUGUUUUCUGCAAUUGUGACUAGAGCACACCCUGAUAGCUCAGUUGGUAGAGCGGAGGGCUGUAGGAUGUUCCUCAUCUGAAACGCUGUGAUCCUGAAGUCGCCGGUUCAACUCCAUCUCCAAGCCUGUGCAUGUCAAAUUGAAAUAAAGCCAAGCCUUGUCUUUAUCUGUCAACUCCUCCAAUAUUUAAAACCACAAACCACAUAACUUAAUUUUCCAACCAUCAAUUUUUUAUUCACCCAGCCUAAAAGUCUUGAUUAUCAGUUCUGGGUCCCUGGCAAUGACUGUUGGGUACAAACUGCAAAGCUUUGUUCUGCAGGUAGGGCUGGGCUUUUGAUUGACUAUGGGUUCCAAUAGUUGUGUGGGCAUAGGGUGUUGUCUCAGCCACUAUGUUUUCUGCGAUUGUGACUAGCGAACACCCUGAUAGCUCAGUUGGUAGAGCGGAGGGCUGUAGCAUGUUCCUCAUCUGAAACGCUGUGAUCCUGAAGUCGCCGGUUCAACUCCAGCUCCAAGCCUGUGCAUGUUAAAAUUAAAAUAAAGCCAAGCCUUGUCUUUAUCUGUCAACUCCUCCAAUAUUUAAAAACACAAACAACAUGACUUAAUUUUCCAACCAUCAGUUUUUUAUUCACCCAGCCUAAAAGUCUUGAUUAUCAGUUCUGGGUCCCUGGCAAUGACUGUUGGGUACAAACUGCAAAGCUUUGUUCUGCAGGUAGGGCUGGGCUUUUGAUUGACUAUGGGUUCCAAUAGUUGUGUGGGCAUAGGGUGUUGUCUCAGCCACUAUGUUUUCUGCAAUUGUGAAUAGAGAACACCCUGAUAGCUCAGUUGGUAGAGCGGAGGGCUGUAGUAUGUUCCUCAUCUGAAAUGCUGUGAUCCUGAAGUCGCCGGUUCAACUCCAGCUCCAAGCCUGUCCAUGUCAAAUUGAAAUAAAGCCAAGCCUUGUCUUUAUCUGUCAACUCCUCCAAUAUUUAAAACCACAAACCACAUAACUUAAUUUUCCAACCAUCAAUUUUUUAUUCACCCAGCCUAAAAGUCUUGAUUAUCAGUUCUGGGUCCCUGGCAAUGACUGUUGGGUACAAACUGCAAAGCUUUGUUCUGCAGGUAGGGCUGGGCUUUUGAUUGACUAUGGGUUCCAAUAGUUGUGUGGGCAUAGGGUGUUGUCUCAGCCACUAUGUUUUCUGCGAUUGUGACUAGCGAACACCCUGAUAGCUCAGUUGGUAGAGCGGAGGGCUGUAGCAUGUUCCUCAUCUGAAACGCUGUGAUCCUGAAGUCGCCGGUUCAACUCCAGCUCCAAGCCUGUGCAUGUUAAAAUUAAAAUAAAGCCAAGCCUUGUCUUUAUCUGUCAACUCCUCCAAUAUUUAAAAACACAAACAACAUGACUUAAUUUUCCAACCAUCAGUUUUUUAUUCACCCAGCCUAAAAGUCUUGAUUAUCAGUUCUGGGUCCCUGGCAAUGACUGUUGGGUACAAACUGCAAAGCUUUGUUCUGCAGGGAGGGCUGGGCUUUUGAUUGACUAUGGGUUCCAAUAGUUGUGUGGGCAUAGGGUGUUGUCUCAGCCACUAUGUUUUCUGCAAUUGUGAAUAGAGAACACCCUGAUAGCUCAGUUGGUAGAGCGGAUGGCUGUAGUAUGUUCCUCAUCUGAAACGCUGUGAUCCUGAAGUCGCCGGUUCAACUCCAGCUCCAAGCCUGUGCAUGUCAAAUUGAAAUAAAGCCAAGCCUUGUCUUUAUCUGUCAACUCCUCCAAUAUUUAAAAACACAAACCACAUAACUUAAUUUUCCAACCAUCAAUUUUUUAUUCACCCAGCCUAAAAGUCUUGAUUAUCAGUUCUGGGUCCCUGGCAAUGACUGUUGGGUACAAGCUGCAAAGCUUUGUUCUGCAGGUAGGGCUGGGCUUUUGAUUGACUAUGGGUUCCAAUAGUUGUGUGGGCAUAGGGUGUUGUCUCAGCCACUAUGUUUUCUGCAAUUGUGACUAGAGAACACCCUGAUAGCUCAGUUGGUAGAGCGGAGGGCUGUAGGAUGUUCCUCAUCUGAAACGCUGUGAUCCUGAAGUCGCCGGUUCAACUCCAGCUCCAAGCCUGUGCAUGUCAAAUUGAAAUAAAGCCAAGCCUUGUCUUUAUCUGUCAACUCCUCCAAUAUUUAAAACCACAAACCACAUAACUUAAUUUUCCAACCAUCAAUUUUUUAUUCACCCAGCCUAAAAGUCUUGAUUAUCAGUUCUGGGUCCCUGGCAAUGACUGUUGGGUACAAGCUGCAAAGCUUUGUUCUGCAGGUAGGGCUGGGCUUUUGAUUGACUAUGGGUUCCAAUAGUUGUGUGGGCAUAGGGUGUUGUCUCAGCCACUAUGUUUUCUGCAAUUGUGACUAGAGAACACCCUGAUAGCUCAGUUGGUAGAGCGGAGGGCUGUAGGAUGUUUCUCAUCUGAAACGCUGUGAUCCUGAAGUCGCCGGUUCAACUCCAGCUCCAAGCCUGUGCAUGUCAAAUUGAAAUAAAGCCAAGCCUUGUCUUUAUCUGUCAACUCCUCCAAUAUUUAAAAACACUUAACUUAAUUUUCCAACCAUCAAUUUUUUAUUCACCCAGCCUCAAAGUCUUGAUUAUCAGUUCUGGGUCCCUGGCAAUGACUGUUGGGUACAAACUGCAAAGCUUUGUUCUGCAGGUAGGGCUGGGCUUUUGAUUGACUAUGGGUUCCAAUAGUUGUGUGGGCAUAGGGUGUUGUCUCAGCCACUAUGUUUUCUGCAAUUGUGACUAGAGAACACCCUGAUAGCUCAGUUGGUAGAGCGGAGGGCUGUAGGAUGUUCCUCAUCUGAAACGCUCUGAUCCUGAAGUCGCCGGUUCAACUCCAGCUCCAAGCCUGUCCAUGUCAAAUUGAAAUAAAGCCAAGCCUUGUCUUUAUCUGUCAACUCCUCCAAUAUUUAAAAACACAUAACUUAAUUUUCCAACCAUCAAUUUUUUAUUCACCCAGCCUAAAAGUCUUGAUUAUCAGUUCUGGGUCCCUGGCAAUGACUGUUGGGUACAAACUGCAAAGCUUUGUUCUGCAGGUAGGGCUGGGCUUUUGAUUGACUAUGGGUUACAAUAGUUGUGUGGGCAUAGGGUGUUGUCUCAGCCACUAUGUUUUCUGCAAUUGUGACUAGAGAACACCCUGAUAGCUCAGUUGGUAGAGCGGAGGGCUGUAGCAUGUUCCUCAUCUGAAACGCUGUGAUCCUGAAGUCGCUGGUUCAACUCCAGCUCCAAGCCUGUGCAUGUUAAAAUUGAAAUAAAGCCAAGCCUUGUCUUUAUCUGUCAACUCCUCCAAUAUUUAAAAACACAAACAACAUAACUUAAUUUUCCAACCAUCAGUUUUUUAUUCACCCAGCCUAAAAGUCUUGAUUAUCAGUUCUGGGUCCCUGGCAAUGACUGUUGGGUACAAACUGCAAAGCUUUGUUCUGCAGGUAGGGCUGGGCUUUUGAUUGACUAUGGGUUCCAAUAGUUGUGUGGGCAUAGGGUGUUGUCUCAGCCACUAUGUUUUCUGCAAUUGUGACUAGAGAACACCCUGAUAGCUCAGUUGGUAGAGCGGAGAGCUGUAGGAUGUUCCUCAUCGGAAACGCUGUGAUCCUGAAGUCGCCGGUUCAACUCCAGCUCCAAGCCUGUGCAUGUCAAAUUGAAAUAAAGCCAAGCCUUGUCUUUAUCUGUCAACUCCUCCAAUAUUUAAAAACACAAACCACAUAACUUAAUUUUCCAACCAUCAAUUUUUUAUUCACCCAGCCUAAAAGUCUUGAUUAUCAGUUCUGGGUCCCUGGCAAUGACUGUUGGGUACAAACUGCAAAGCUUUGUUCUGCAGGUAGGGCUGGGCUUUUGAUUGACUAUGGGUUCCAAUAGUUGUGUGGGCAUAGGGUGUUGUCUCAGCCACUAUGUUUUCUGCAAUUGUGACUAGAGAACACCCUGAUAGCUCAGUUGGUAGAGCGGAGGGCUGUAGGAUGUUCCUCAUCUGAAACGCUGUGAUCCUGAAGUCGCCGGUUCAACUCCAGCUCCAAGCCUGUGCAUGUCAAAUUGAAAUAAAGCCAAGCCUUGUCUUUAUCUGUCAACUCCUCCAAUAUUUAAAACCACAAACCACAUAACUUAAUUUUCCAACCAUCAGUUUUUUAUUCACCCAGCCUAAAAGUCUUGAUUAUCAGUUCUGGGUCCCUGGCAAUGACUGUUGGGUACAAGCUGCAAAGCUUUGUUCUGCAGGUAGGGCUGGGCUUUUGAUUGACUAUGGGUUCCAAUAGUUGUGUGGGCAUAGGGUGUUGUCUCAGCCACUAUGUUUUCUGCAAUUGUGACUAGAGAACAACCUGAUAGCUCAGUUGGUAGAGCGGACGGCUGUAGGAUGUUCCUCAUCUGAAACGCUGUGAUCCUGAAGUCGCCGGUUCAACUCCAGCUCCAAGCCUUUGCAUGUCAAAUUGAAAUAAAGCCAAGCCUUGUCUUUAUCUGUCAACUCCUCCAAUAUUUAAAACCACAAACCACAUAACUUAAUUUUCCAACCAUCAAUUUUUUAUUCACCCAGCCUAAAAGUCUUGAUUAUCAGUUCUGGGUCCCUGGCAAUGACUGUUGGGUACAAACUGCAAAGCUUUGUUCUGCAGGUAGGGCUGGGCUUUUGAUUGACUAUGGGUUCCAAUAGUUGUGUGGGCAUAGGGUGUUGUCUCAGCCACUAUGUUUUCUGCGAUUGUGACUAGCGAACACCCUGAUAGCUCAGUUGGUAGAGCGGAGGGCUGUAGCAUGUUCCUCAUCUGAAACGCUGUGAUCCUGAAGUCGCCGGUUCAACUCCAGCUCCAAGCCUGUGCAUGUUAAAAUUAAAAUAAAGCCAAGCCUUGUCUUUAUCUGUCAACUCCUCCAAUAUUUAAAAACACAAACAACAUGACUUAAUUUUCCAACCAUCAGUUUUUUAUUCACCCAGCCUAAAAGUCUUGAUUAUCAGUUCUGGGUCCCUGGCAAUGACUGUUGGGUACAAACUGCAAAGCUUUGUUCUGCAGGGAGGGCUGGGCUUUUGAUUGACUAUGGGUUCCAAUAGUUGUGUGGGCAUAGGGUGUUGUCUCAGCCACUAUGUUUUCUGCAAUUGUGAAUAGAGAACACCCUGAUAGCUCAGUUGGUAGAGCGGAUGGCUGUAGUAUGUUCCUCAUCUGAAACGCUGUGAUCCUGAAGUCGCCGGUUCAACUCCAGCUCCAAGCCUGUGCAUGUCAAAUUGAAAUAAAGCCAAGCCUUGUCUUUAUCUGUCAACUCCUCCAAUAUUUAAAAACACAAACCACAUAACUUAAUUUUCCAACCAUCAAUUUUUUAUUCACCCAGCCUAAAAGUCUUGAUUAUCAGUUCUGGGUCCCUGGCAAUGACUGUUGGGUACAAGCUGCAAAGCUUUGUUCUGCAGGUAGGGCUGGGCUUUUGAUUGACUAUGGGUUCCAAUAGUUGUGUGGGCAUAGGGUGUUGUCUCAGCCACUAUGUUUUCUGCAAUUGUGACUAGAGAACACCCUGAUAGCUCAGUUGGUAGAGCGGAGGGCUGUAGGAUGUUCCUCAUCUGAAACGCUGUGAUCCUGAAGUCGCCGGUUCAACUCCAGCUCCAAGCCUGUGCAUGUCAAAUUGAAAUAAAGCCAAGCCUUGUCUUUAUCUGUCAACUCCUCCAAUAUUUAAAACCACAAACCACAUAACUUAAUUUUCCAACCAUCAAUUUUUUAUUCACCCAGCCUAAAAGUCUUGAUUAUCAGUUCUGGGUCCCUGGCAAUGACUGUUGGGUACAAGCUGCAAAGCUUUGUUCUGCAGGUAGGGCUGGGCUUUUGAUUGACUAUGGGUUCCAAUAGUUGUGUGGGCAUAGGGUGUUGUCUCAGCCACUAUGUUUUCUGCAAUUGUGACUAGAGAACACCCUGAUAGCUCAGUUGGUAGAGCGGAGGGCUGUAGGAUGUUUCUCAUCUGAAACGCUGUGAUCCUGAAGUCGCCGGUUCAACUCCAGCUCCAAGCCUGUGCAUGUCAAAUUGAAAUAAAGCCAAGCCUUGUCUUUAUCUGUCAACUCCUCCAAUAUUUAAAAACACUUAACUUAAUUUUCCAACCAUCAAUUUUUUAUUCACCCAGCCUCAAAGUCUUGAUUAUCAGUUCUGGGUCCCUGGCAAUGACUGUUGGGUACAAACUGCAAAGCUUUGUUCUGCAGGUAGGGCUGGGCUUUUGAUUGACUAUGGGUUCCAAUAGUUGUGUGGGCAUAGGGUGUUGUCUCAGCCACUAUGUUUUCUGCAAUUGUGACUAGAGAACACCCUGAUAGCUCAGUUGGUAGAGCGGAGGGCUGUAGGAUGUUCCUCAUCUGAAACGCUCUGAUCCUGAAGUCGCCGGUUCAACUCCAGCUCCAAGCCUGUCCAUGUCAAAUUGAAAUAAAGCCAAGCCUUGUCUUUAUCUGUCAACUCCUCCAAUAUUUAAAAACACAUAACUUAAUUUUCCAACCAUCAAUUUUUUAUUCACCCAGCCUAAAAGUCUUGAUUAUCAGUUCUGGGUCCCUGGCAAUGACUGUUGGGUACAAACUGCAAAGCUUUGUUCUGCAGGUAGGGCUGGGCUUUUGAUUGACUAUGGGUUCCAAUAUUUGUGUGGGCAUAGGGUGUUGUCUCAGCCACUAUGUUUUCUGCAAUUGUGACUAGAGAACACCCUGAUAGCUCAGUUGGUAGAGCGGAGGGCUGUAGCAUGUUCCUCAUCUGAAACGCUGUGAUCCUGAAGUCGCUGGUUCAACUCCAGCUCCAAGCCUGUGCAUGUUAAAAUUGAAAUAAAGCCAAGCCUUGUCUUUAUCUGUCAACUCCUCCAAUAUUUAAAAACACAAACAACAUAACUUAAUUUUCCAACCAUCAGUUUUUUAUUCACCCAGCCUAAAAGUCUUGAUUAUCAGUUCUGGGUCCCUGGCAAUGACUGUUGGGUACAAACUGCAAAGCUUUGUUCUGCAGGUAGGGCUGGGCUUUUGAUUGACUAUGGGUUCCAAUAGUUGUGUGGGCAUAGGGUGUUGUCUCAGGCACUAUGUUUUCUGCAAUUGUGACUAGAGAACACCCUGAUAGCUCAGUUGGUAGAGCGGAGGCCUGUAGGAUGUUCCUCAUCUGAAACGCUGUGAUCCUGAAGUCGCCGGUUCAACUCCAGCUCCAAGCCUGUGCAUGUCAAAUUGAAAUAAAGCCAAGCCUUGUCUUUAUCUGUCAACUCCUCCAAUAUUUAAAAACACAAACCACAUAACUUAAUUUUCCAACCAUCAAUUUUUUAUUCACCCAGCCUCAAAGUCUUGAUUAUCAGUUAUGGGUCCCUGGCAAUGACUGUUGGGUACAAGCUGCAAAGCUUUGUUCUGCAGGUAGGGCUGGGCUUUUGAUUGACUAUGGGUUCCAAUAGUUGUGUGGGCAUAGGGUGUUGUCUCAGCCACUAUGUUUUCUGCAAUUGUGACUAGAGAACACCCUGAUAGCUCAGUUGGUAGAGCGGAGGGCUGUAGGAUGUUCUCAUCUGAAACGCUGUGAUCCUGAAGUCGCCGGUUCAACUCCAGCUCCAAGCCUGUGCAUGUCAAAUUGAAAUAAAGCCAAGCCUUGUCUUUAUCUGUCAACUCCUCCAAUAUUUAAAAAACCAACACAUAACUUAAUUUUCCAACCAUCAAUUUUUUAUUCACCCAGCCUAAAAGUCUUGAUUAUCAGUUAUGGGUCCCUGGCAAUGACUGUUGGGUACAAGCUGCAAAGCUUUGUUCUGCAGGUAGGGCUGGGCUUUUGAUUGACUAUGGGUUCCAAUAGUUGUGUGGGCAUAGGGUGUUGUCUCAGCCACUAUGUUUUCUGCAAUUGUGACUAGAGAACACCCUGAUAGCUCAGUUGGUACAGCCCAGGGCUGUAGGAUGUUCCUCAUCUGAAACGCUGUGAUCCUGAAGUCGCCGGUUCAACUCCAGCUCCAAGCCUGUGCAUGUCAAAUUGAAAUAAAGCCAAGCCUUGUCUUUAUCUGUCAACUCCUCCAAUAUUUAAAACCACAAACCACAUAACUUAAUUUUCCAACCAUCAGUUUUUUAUUCACCCAGCCUAAAAGUCUUGAUUAUCAGUUCUGGGUCCCUGGCAAUGACUGUUGGGUACAAGCUGCAAAGCUUUGUUCUGCAGGUAGGGCUGGGCUUUUGAUUGACUAUGGGUUCCAAUAGUUGUGUGGGCAUAGGGUGUUGUCUCAGGCACUAUGUUUUCUGCAAUUGUGACUAGAGAACACCCUGAUAGCUCAGUUGGUAGAGCGGAGGCCUGUAGGAUGUUCCUCAUCUGAAACGCUGUGAUCCUGAAGUCGCCGGUUCAACUCCAGCUCCAAGCCUGUGCAUGUCAAAUUGAAAUAAAGCCAAGCCUUGUCUUUAUCUGUCAACUCCUCCAAUAUUUAAAAACACAUAACUUAAUUUUCCAACCAUCAAUUUUUUAUUCACCCAGCCUAAAAGUCUUGAUUAUCAGUUCUGGGUCCCUGGCAAUGACUGUUGGGUACAAGCUGCAAAGCUUUGUUCUGCAGGUAGGGCUGGGCUUUUGAUUGACUAUGGGUUCCAAUAAAUGUGUGGGCAUAGGGUGUUGUCUCAGCCACUAUGUUUUCUGCAAUUGUGACUAGAGAACACCCUGAUAGCUCAGUUGGUAGAGCGGAGGGCUGUAGCAUGUUCCUCAUCUGAAACGCUGUGAUCCUGAAGUCGCUGGUUCAACUCCAGCUCCAAGCCUGUGCAUGUUAAAAUUGAAAUAAAGCCAAGCCUUGUCUUUAUCUGUCAACUCCUCCAAUAUUUAAAAACACAAACAACAUAAAUUAAUUUUCCAACCAUCAGUUUUUUAUUCACCCAGCCUAAAAGUCUUGAUUAUCAGUUCUGGGUCCCUGGCAAUGUGACUGUUGGGUACAAACUGCAAAGCUUUGUUCUGCAGGUAGGGCUGGGCUUUUGAUUGACUAUGGGUUCCAAUAGUUGUGUGGGCAUAGGGUGUUGUCUCAGCCACUAUGUUUUCUGCAAUUGUGACUAGAGAACACCCUGAUAGCUCAGUUGGUAGAGCGGAGGGCUGUAGGAUGUUCCUCAUCUGAAACGCUGUGAUCCUGAAGUCGCCUGUUCAACUCCAGCUCCAAGCCUGUGCAUGUCAAAUUGAAAUAAAGCCAAGCCUUGUCUUUAUCUGUCAACUCCUCCAAUAUUUAAAACCACAAACCACAUAACUUAAUUUUCCAACCAUCAGUUUUUUAUUCACCCAGCCUAAAAGUCUUGAUUAUCAGUUCUGGGUCCCUGGCAAUGACUGUUGGGUACAAGCUGCAAAGCUUUGUUCUGCAGGUAGGGCUGGGCUUUUGAUUGACUAUGGGUUCCAAUAGUUGUGUGGGCAUAGGGUAGGGUGUUGUCUCAGCCACUAUGUUUUCUGCAAUUGUGACAAGAGAACACCCUGAUAGCUCAGUUGGUAGAGCGGAGGGCUGUAGCAUGUUCCUCAUCUGAAACGCUGUGAUCCUGAAGUCGCUGGUUCAACUCCAGCUCCAAGCCUGUGCAUGUUAAAAUUGAAAUAAAGCCAAGCCUUGUCUUAAUCUGUCAACUCCUCCAAUAUUUAAAAACACAAACAACAUAAAUUAAUUUUCCAACCAUCAGUUUUUUAUUCACCCAGCCUAAAAGUCUUGAUUAUCAGUUCUGGGUCCCUGGCAAUGACUGUUGGGUACAAACUGCAAAGCUUUGUUCUGCAGGUAGGGCUGGGCUUUUGAUUGACUAUGGGUUCCAAUAGUUGUGUGGGCAUAGGGUGUUGUCUCAGCCACUAUGUUUUCUGCAAUUGUGACUAGAGAACACCCUGAUAGCUCAGUUGGUAGAGCGGAGGGCUGUAGGAUGUUCCUCAUCUGAAACGCUGUCAUCCUGAAGUCGCCGGUUCAACUCCAGCUCCAAGCCUGUGCAUGUCAAAUUGAAAUAAAGCCAAGCCUUGUCUUUAUCUGUCAACUCCUCCAAUAUUUAAAACCACAAACCACAUAACUUAAUUUUCCAACCAUCAAUUUUUUAUUCACCCAGCCUAAAAGUCUUGAUUAUCAGUUCUGGGUCCCUGGCAAUGACUGUUGGGUACAAGCUGCAAAGCUUUGUUCUGCAGGUAGGGCUGGGCUUUUGAUUGACUAUGGGUUCCAAUAGUUGUGUGGGCAUAGGGUGUUGUCUCAGCCACUAUGUUUUCUGCAAUUGUGACUAGAGAACACCCUGAUAGCUCAGUUGGUAGAGCGGAGGGCUGUAGGAUGUUCCUCAUCUGAAACGCUGUGAUCCUGAAGUCGCCGGUUCAACUCCAGCUCCAAGCCUGUGCAUGUCAAAUUGAAAUAAAGCCAAGCCUUGUCUUUCUCUGUCAACUCCUCCAAUAUUUAAAACCACAUAACUUAAUUUUCCAACCAUCAGUUUUUUAUUCACCCAGCCUAAAAGUCUUGAUUAUCAGUUCUGGGUCCCUGGCAAUGACUGUUGGGUACAAGCUGCAAAGCUUUGUUCUGCAGGUAGGGCUGGGCUUUUGAUUGACUAUGGGUUCCAAUAAAUGUGUGGGCAUAGGGUGUUGUCUCAGCCACUAUGUUUUCUGCAAUUGUGACUAGAGAACACCCUGAUAGCUCAGUUGGUAGAGCGGAGGGCUGUAGGAUGUUCCUCAUCUGAAACGCUGUGAUCCUGAAGUCGCUGGUUCAACUCCAGCUCCAAGCCUGUGCAUGUAAAAUUGAAAUAAAGCCAAGCCUUGUCUUUAUCUGUCAACUCCUCCAAUAUUUAAAAACACAAACAACAUAAAUUAAUUUUCCAACCAUCAGUUUUUUAUUCACCCAGCCUAAAAGUCUUGAUUAUCAGUUCUGGGUCCCUGGCAAUGACUGUUGGGUACAAGCUGCAAAGCUUUGUUCUGCAGGUAGGGCUGGGCUUUUGAUUGACUAUGGGUUCCAAUAGUUGUGUGGGCAUAGGGUGUUGUCUCAGCCACUAUGUUUUCUGCAAUUGUGACUAGAGAACACCCUGAUAGCUCAGUUGGUAGAGCGGAGGGCUGUAGGAUGUUCCUCAUCUGAAACGCUGUGAUCCUGAAGUCGCCUGUUCAACUCCAGCUCCAAGCCUGUGCAUGUCAAAUUGAAAUAAAGCCAAGCCUUGUCUUUAUCUGUCAACUCCUCCAAUAUUUAAAACCACAAACCACAUAACUUAAUUUUCCAACCAUCAGUUUUUUAUUCACCCAGCCUAAAAGUCUUGAUUAUCAGUUCUGGGUCCCUGGCAAUGACUGUUGGGUACAAGCUGCAAAGCUUUGUUCUGCAGCUAGGGCUGGGCUUUUGAUUGACUAUGGGUUCCAAUAGUUGUGUGGGCAUAGGGUGUUGUCUCAGCCACUAUGUUUUCUGCAAUUGUGACAAGAGAACACCCUGAUAGCUCAGUUGGUAGAGCGGAGGGCUGUAGCAUGUUCCUCAUCUGAAACGCUGUGAUCCUGAAGUCGCUGGUUCAACUCCAGCUCCAAGCCUGUGCAUGUUAAAAUUGAAAUAAAGCCAAGCCUUGUCUUAAUCUGUCAACUCCUCCAAUAUUUAAAAACACAAACAACAUAAAUUAAUUUUCCAACCAUCAGUUUUUUAUUCACCCAGCCUAAAAGUCUUGAUUAUCAGUUCUGGGUCCCUGGCAAUGACUGUUGGGUACAAACUGCAAAGCUUUGUUCUGCAGGUAGGGCUGGGCUUUUGAUUGACUAUGGGUUCCAAUAGUUGUGUGGGCAUAGGGUGUUGUCUCAGCCACUAUGUUUUCUGCAAUUGUGACUAGAGAACACCCUGAUAGCUCAGUUGGUAGAGCGGAGGGCUGUAGGAUGUUCCUCAUCUGAAACGCUGUGAUCCUGAAGUCGCCGGUUCAACUCCAGCUCCAAGCCUGUGCAUGUCAAAUUGAAAUAAAGCCAAGCCUUGUCUUUAUCUGUCAACUCCUCCAAUAUUUAAAACCACAAACCACAUAACUUAAUUUUCCAACCAUCAAUUUUUUAUUCACCCAGCCUAAAAGUCUUGAUUAUCAGUUCUGGGUCCCUGGCAAUGACUGUUGGGUACAAGCUGCAAAGCUUUGUUCUGCAGGUAGGGCUGGGCUUUUGAUUGACUAUGGGUUCCAAUAGUUGUGUGGGCAUAGGGUGUUGUCUCAGCCACUAUGUUUUCUGCAAUUGUGACUAGAGAACACCCUGAUAGCUCAGUUGGUAGAGCGGAGGGCUGUAGGAUGUUCCUCAUCUGAAACGCUGGUUCAACUCCAGCUCCAAGCCUGUGCAUGUUAAAAUUGAAAUAAAGCCAAGCCUUGUCUUUAUCUGUUACUCCUCCAAUAUUUAAAAACACAAACAACAUAACUUAAUUUUCCAACCAUCAGUUUUUUAUUCACCCAGCCUAAAAGUCUUGAUUAUCAGUUCUGGGUCCCUGGCAAUGACUGUUGGGUACAAACUGCAAAGCUUUGUUCUGCAGGUAGGGCUGGGCUUUUGAUUGACUAUGGGUUCCAAUAGUUGUGUGGGCAUAGGGUGUUGUCUCAGCCACUAUGUUUUCUGCAAUUGUGACUAGAGAACACCCUGAUAGCUCAGUUGGUAGAGCGGAGGGCUCUAGGAUGUUCCUCAUCUGAAACGCUGUGAUCCUGAAGUCGCCGGUUCAACUCCAGCUCCAAGCCUGUGCAUGUCAAAUUGAAAUAAAGCCAAGCCUUGUCUUUAUCUGUCAACUCCUCCAAUAUUUAAAAACACAAACCACAUAACUUAAUUUUCCAACCAUCAAUUUUUUAUUCACCCAGCCUAAAAGUCUUGAUUAUCAGUUCUGGGUCCCUGGCAAUGACUGUUGGGUACAAACUGCAAAGCUUUGUUCUGCAGGUAGGGCUGGGCUUUUGAUUGACUAUGGGUUCCAAUAGUUGUGUGGGCAUAGGGUGUUGUCUCAGCCACUAUGUUUUCUGCAAUUGUGACUAGAGAACACCCUGAUAGCCCAGUUGGUAGAGCGGAGGGCUGUAGGAUGUUCCUCAUCUGAAACGCUGUGAUCCUGAAGUCGCCGGUUCAACUCCAGCUCCAAGCCUGUGCAUGUCAAAUUGAAAUAAAGCCAAGCCUUGUCUUUAUCUGUCAACUCCUCCAAUAUUUAAAACCACAUAACUUAAUUUUCCAACCAUCAAUUUUUUAUUCAACCAGCCUAAAAGUCUUGAUUAUCAGUUCUGGGUCCCUGGCAAUGACUGUUGGGUACAAACUGCAAAGCUUUGUUCUGCAGGUAGGGCUGGGCUUUUGAUUGACUAUGGGUUCCAAUAGUUGUGUGGGCAUAGGGUGUUGUCUCAGCCACUAUGUUUUCUGCAAUUGUGACUAGAGAACACCCUGAUAGCUCAGUUGGUAGAGCGGAGGGCUCUAGGAUGUUCCUCAUCUGAAACGCUGUGAUCCUGAAGUCGCCGGUUCAACUCCAGCUCCAAGCCUGUGCAUGUCAAAUUGAAAUAAAGCCAAGCCUUGUCUUUCUCUGUCAACUCCUCCAAUAUUUAAAACCACAUAACUUAAUUUUCCAACCAUCAGUUUUUUAUUCACCCAGCCUAAAAGUCUUGAUUAUCAGUUCUGGGUCCCUGGCAAUGACUGUUGGGUACAAGCUGCAAAGCUUUGUUCUGCAGGUAGGGCUGGGCUUUUGAUUGACUAUGGGUUCCAAUAAAUGUGUGGGCAUAGGGUGUUGUCUCAGCCACUAUGUUUUCUGCAAUUGUGACUAGAGAACACCCUGAUAGCUCAGUUGGUAGAGCGGAGGGCUGUAGCAUGUUCCUCAUCUGAAACGCUGUGAUCCUGAAGUCGCUGGUUCAACUCCAGCUCCAAGCCUGUGCAUGUUAAAAUUGAAAUAAAGCCAAGCCUUGUCUUUAUCUGUCAACUCCUCCAAUAUUUAAAAACACAAACAACAUAAAUUAAUUUUCCAACCAUCAGUUUUUUAUUCACCCAGCCUAAAAGUCUUGAUUAUCAGUUCUGGGUCCCUGGCAAUGACUGUUGGGUACAAGCUGCAAAGCUUUGUUCUGCAGGUAGGGCUGGGCUUUUGAUUGACUAUGGGUUCCAAUAGUUGUGUGGGCAUAGGGUGUUGUCUCAGCCACUAUGUUUUCUGCAAUUGUGACUAGAGAACACCCUGAUAGCUCAGUUGGUAGAGCGGAGGGCUGUAGGAUGUUCCUCAUCUGAAACGCUGUGAUCCUGAAGUCGCCUGUUCAACUCCAGCUCCAAGCCUGUGCAUGUCAAAUUGAAAUAAAGCCAAGCCUUGUCUUUAUCUGUCAACUCCUCCAAUAUUUAAAACCACAAACCACAUAACUUAAUUUUCCAACCAUCAGUUUUUUAUUCACCCAGCCUAAAAGUCUUGAUUAUCAGUUCUGGGUCCCUGGCAAUGACUGUUGGGUACAAGCUGCAAAGCUUUGUUCUGCAGGUAGGGCUGGGCUUUUGAUUGACUAUGGGUUCCAAUAGUUGUGUGGGCAUAGGGUGUUGUCUCAGCCACUAUGUUUUCUGCAAUUGUGACAAGAGAACACCCUGAUAGCUCAGUUGGUAGAGCGGAGGGCUGUAGCAUGUUCCUCAUCUGAAACGCUGUGAUCCUGAAGUCGCUGGUUCAACUCCAGCUCCAAGCCUGUGCAUGUUAAAAUUGAAAUAAAGCCAAGCCUUGUCUUAAUCUGUCAACUCCUCCAAUAUUUAAAAACACAAACAACAUAAAUUAAUUUUCCAACCAUCAGUUUUUUAUUCACCCAGCCUAAAAGUCUUGAUUAUCAGUUCUGGGUCCCUGGCAAUGACUGUUGGGUACAAACUGCAAAGCUUUGUUCUGCAGGUAGGGCUGGGCUUUUGAUUGACUAUGGGUUCCAAUAGUUGUGUGGGCAUAGGGUGUUGUCUCAGCCACUAUGUUUUCUGCAAUUGUGACUAGAGAACACCCUGAUAGCUCAGUUGGUAGAGCGGAGGGCUGUAGGAUGUUCCUCAUCUGAAACGCUGUCAUCCUGAAGUCGCCGGUUCAACUCCAGCUCCAAGCCUGUGCAUGUCAAAUUGAAAUAAAGCCAAGCCUUGUCUUUAUCUGUCAACUCCUCCAAUAUUUAAAACCACAAACCACAUAACUUAAUUUUCCAACCAUCAAUUUUUUAUUCACCCAGCCUAAAAGUCUUGAUUAUCAGUUCUGGGUCCCUGGCAAUGACUGUUGGGUACAAGCUGCAAAGCUUUGUUCUGCAGGUAGGGCUGGGCUUUUGAUUGACUAUGGGUUCCAAUAGUUGUGUGGGCAUAGGGUGUUGUCUCAGCCACUAUGUUUUCUGCAAUUGUGACUAGAGAACACCCUGAUAGCUCAGUUGGUAGAGCGGAGGGCUGUAGGAUGUUCCUCAUCUGAAACGCUGUGAUCCUGAAGUCGCCGGUUCAACUCCAGCUCCAAGCCUGUGCAUCUCAAAUUGAAAUAAAGCCAAGCCUUGUCUUUAUCUGUCAACUCCUCCAAUAUUUAAAACCACAAACCACAUAACUUAAUUUUCCAACCAUCAGUUUUUUAUUCACCCAGCCUAAAAGUCUUGAUUAUCAGUUCUGGGUCCCUGGCAAUGACUGUUGGGUACAAGCUGCAAAGCUUUGUUCUGCAGCUAGGGCUGGGCUUUUGAUUGACUAUGGGUUCCAAUAGUUGUGUGGGCAUAGGGUGUUGUCUCAGCCACUAUGUUUUCUGCAAUUGUGACUAGAGAACACCCUGAUAGCUCAGUUGGUAGAGCGGAGGGCUGUAGGAUGUUUCUCAUCUGAAACGCUGUGAUCCUGAAGUCGCCGGUUCAACUCCAGCUCCAAGCCUGUGCAUGUCAAAUUGAAAUAAAGCCAAGCCUUGUCUUUAUCUGUCAACUCCUCCAAUAUUUAAAAACACAUAACUUAAUUUUCCAACCAUCAAUUUUUUAUUCACCCAGCCUAAAAGUCUUGAUUAUCAGUUCUGGGUCCCUGGCAAUGACUGUUGGGUACAAGCUGCAAAGCUUUGUUCUGCAGGUAGGGCUGGGCUUUUGAUUGACUAUGGGUUACAAUAGUUGUGUGGGCAUAGGGUGUUGUCUCAGCCACUAUGUUUUCUGCAAUUGUGACUAGAGAACACCCUGAUAGCUCAGUUGGUAGAGCGGACGACUGUAGGAUGUUCCUCAUCUGAAACGCUGUGAUCCUGAAGUCGCCGGUUCAACUCCAGCUCCAAGCCUGUGCAUGUCAAAUUGAAAUAAACCCAAGCCUUGUCUUUAUCUGUCAACUCCUCCAAUAUUUAAAAACACAAACCACAUAACUUAAUUUUCCAACCAUCAAUUUUUUAUUCACCCAGCCUCAAAGUCUUGAUUAUCAGUUAUGGGUCCCUGGCAAUGACUGUUGGGUACAAGCUGCAAAGCUUUGUUCUGCAGGUAGGGCUGGGCUUUUGAUUGACUAUGGGUUCCAAUAGUUGUGUGGGCAUAGGGUGUUGUCUCAGCCACUAUGUUUUCUGCAAUUGUGACUAGAGAACACCCUGAUAGCUCAGUUGGUAGAGCGGAGGGCUGUAGGAUGUUUCUCAUCUGAAACGCUUUGAUCCUGAAGUCGCCGGUUCAACUCCAGCUCCAAGCCUGUGCAUGUCAAAUUGAAAUAAAGCCAAGCCUUGUCUUUAUCUGUCAACUCCUCCAAUAUUUAAAAACACAUAACUUAAUUUUCCAACCAUCAAUUUUUUAUUCACCCAGCCUAAAAGUCUUGAUUAUCAGUUAUGGGUCCCUGGCAAUGACUGUUGGGUACAAACUGCAAAGCUUUGUUCUGCAGGUAGGGCUGGGCUUUUGAUUGACUAUGGGUUCCAAUAGUUGUGUGGGCAUAGGGUGUUGUCUCAGCCACUAUGUUUUCUGCAAUUGUGACUAGAGAACACCCUGAUAGCUCAGUUGGUACAGCCCAGGGCUGUAGGAUGUUCCUCAUCUGAAACGCUGUGAUCCUGAAGUCGCCGGUUCAACUCCAGCUCCAAGCCUGUGCAUGUCAAAUUGAAAUAAAGCCAAGCCUUGUCUUUAUCUGUCAACUCCUCCAAUAUUUAAAACCACAAACCACAUAACUUAAUUUUCCAACCAUCAGUUUUUUAUUCACCCAGCCUAAAAGUCUUGAUUAUCAGUUCUGGGUCCCUGGCAAUGACUGUUGGGUACAAGCUGCAAAGCUUUGUUCUGCAGGUAGGGCUGGGCUUUUGAUUGACUAUGGGUUCCAAUAGUUGUGUGGGCAUAGGGUGUUGUCUCAGGCACUAUGUUUUCUGCAAUUGUGACUAGAGAACACCCUGAUAGCUCAGUUGGUAGAGCGGAGGCCUGUAGGAUGUUCCUCAUCUGAAACGCUGUGAUCCUGAAGUCGCCGGUUCAACUCCAGCUCCAAGCCUGUGCAUGUCAAAUUGAAAUAAAGCCAAGCCUUGUCUUUAUCUGUCAACUCCUCCAAUAUUUAAAAACACAAACCACAUAACUUAAUUUUCCAACCAUCAAUUUUUUAUUCACCCAGCCUAAAAGUCUUGAUUAUCAGUUCUGGGUCCCUGGCAAUGACUGUUGGGUACAAACUGCAAAGCUUUGUUCUGCAGGUAGGGCUGGGCUUUUGAUUGACUAUGGGUUCCAAUAGUUGUGUGGGCAUAGGGUGUUGUCUCAGCCACUAUGUUUUCUGCAAUUGUGACUAGAGAACACCCUGAUAGCUCAGUUGGUAGAGCGGAGGGCUGUAGGAUGUUUCUCAUCUGAAACGCUGUGAUCCUGAAGUCGCCGGUUCAACUCCAGCUCCAAGCCUGUACAUGUCAAAUUGAAAUAAAGCCAAGCCUUGUGUUUAUCUGUCAACUCCUCCAAUAUUUAAAAACACAUAACUUAAUUUUCCAACCAUCAAUUUUUUAUUCACCCAGCCUAAAAGUCUUGAUUAUCAGUUCUGGGUCCCUGGCAAUGACUGUUGGGUACAAACUGCAAAGCUUUGUUCUGCAGGUAGGGCUGGGCUUUUGAUUGACUAUGGGUUCCAAUAGUUGUGUGGGCAUAGGGUGUUGUCUCAGCCACUAUGUUUUCUGCAAUUGUGACUAGAGAACACCCUGAUAGCUCAGUUGGUAGAGCGGAGGCCUGUAGGAUGUUCCUCAUCUGAAACGCUGUGAUCCUGAAGUCGCCGGUUCAACUCCAGCUCCAAGCCUGUGCAUGUCAAAUUGAAAUAAAGCCAAGCCUUGUCUUUAUCUGUCAACUCCUCCAAUAUUUAAAACCACAAACCACAUAACUUAAUUUUCCAACCAUCAGUUUUUUAUUCACCCAGCCUAAAAGUCUUGAUUAUCAGUUCUGGGUCCCUGGCAAUGACUGUUGGGUACAAGCUGCAAAGCUUUGUUCUGCAGGUAGGGCUGGGCUUUUGAUUGACUAUGGGUUCCAAUAGUUGUGUGGGCAUAGGGUGUUGUCUCAGCCACUAUGUUUUCUGCAAUUGUGACUAGAGAACACCCUGAUAGCUCAGUUGGUAGAGCGGAGGGCUGUAGGAUGUUCCUCAUCUGAAACGCUGUGAUCCUGAAGUCGCCGGUUCAACUCCAGCUCCAAGCCUGUGCAUGUCAAAUUGAAAUAAAGCCAAGCCUUGUCUUUAUCUGUCAACUCCUCCAAUAUUUAAAACCACAAACCACAUAACUUAAUUUUCCAACCAUCAGUUUUUUAUUCACCCAGCCUAAAAGUCUUGAUUAUCAGUUCUGGGUCCCUGGCAAUGACUGUUGGGUACAAGCUGCAAAGCUUUGUUCUGCAGGUAGGGCUGGGCUUUUGAUUGACUAUGGGUUCCAAUAUUUGUGUGGGCAUAGGGUGUUGUCUCAGCCACUAUGUUUUCUGCAAUUGUGACUAGAGAACACCCUGAUAGCUCAGUUGGUAGAGCGGAGGGCUGUAGGAUGUUCCUCAUCUGAAACGCUGUGAUCCUGAAGUCGCCGGUUCAACUCCAGCUCCAAGCCUGUGCAUGUCAAAUUGAAAUAAAGCCAAGCCUUGUCUUUAUCUGUCAACUCCUCCAAUAUUUAAAACCACAAACCACAUAACUUAAUUUUCCAACCAUCAGUUUUUUAUUCACCCAGCCUAAAAGUCUUGAUUAUCAGUUCUGGGUCCCUGGCAAUGACUGUUGGGUACAAGCUGCAAAGCUUUGUUCUGCAGGUAGGGCUGGGCUUUUGAUUGACUAUGGGUUCCAAUAGUUAUGUGGGCAUAGGGUGUUGUCUCAGCCACUAUGUUUUCUGCAAUUGUGACUAGAGAACACCCUGAUAGCUCAGUUGGUAGAGCGGAGGGCUGUAGGAUGUUCCUCAUCUGAAACGCUGGUUCAACUCCAGCUCCAAGCCUGUGCAUGUUAAAAUUGAAAUAAAGCCAAGCCUUGUCUUUAUCUGUCAACUCCUCCAAUAUUUAAAAACACAAACAACAUAACUUAAUUUUCCAACCAUCAGUUUUUUAUUCACCCAGCCUAAAAGUCUUGAUUAUCAGUUCUGGGUCCCUGGCAAUGACUGUUGGGUACAAACUGCAAAGCUUUGUUCUGCAGGUAGGGCUGGGCUUUUGAUUGACUAUGGGUUCCAAUAGUUGUGUGGGCAUAGGGUGUUGUCUCAGCCACUAUGUUUUCUGCAAUUGUGACUAGAGAACACCCUGAUAGCUCAGUUGGUAGAGCGGAGGGCUGUAGGAUGUUCCUCAUCUGAAACGCUGUUAUCCUGAAGUCGCCGGUUCAACUCCAGCUCCAAGCCUGUGCAUGUCAAAUUGAAAUAAAGCCAAGCCUUGUCUUUAUCUGUCAACUCCUCCAAUAUUUAAAACCACAUAACUUAAUUUUCCAACCAUCAAUUUUUUAUUCACCCAGCCUAAAAGUCUUGAUUAUCAGUUCUGGGUCCCUGGCAAUGACUGUUGGGUACAAACUGCAAAGCUUUGUUCUGCAGGUAGGGCUGGGCUUUUGAUUGACUAUGGGUUCCAAUAGUUGUGUGGGCAUAGGGUGUUGUCUCAGCCACUAUGUUUUCUGCAAUUGUGACUAGAGAACACCCUGAUAGCUCAGUUGGUAGAGCGGAGGGCUGUAGGAUGUUCCUCAUCUGAAACGCUGUGAUCCUGAAGUCGCCGGUUCAACUCCAGCUCCAAGCCUGUGCAUGUCAAAUUGAAAUAAAGCCAAGCCUUGUCUUUAUCUGUCAACUCCUCCAAUAUUUAAAACCACAAACCACAUAACUUAAUUUUCCAAGCAUCAAUUUUUUAUUCACCCAGCCUAAAAGUCUUGAUUAUCAGUUCUGGGUCCCUGGCAAUGACUGUUGGGUACAAGCUGCAAAGCUUUGUUCUGCAGGUAGGGCUGGGCUUUUGAUUGACUAUGGGUUCCAAUAGUUGUGUGGGCAUAGGGUGUUGUCUCAGCCACUAUGUUUUCUGCAAUUGUGACUAGAGAACACCCUGAUAGCUCAGUUGGUAGAGCGGAGGGCUGUAGGAUGUUCCUCAUCUGAAACGCUGUGUUCCUGAAGUCGCCGGUUCAACUCCAGCUCCAAGCCUGUGCAUGUCAAAUUGAAAUAAAGCCAAGCCUUGUCUUUAUCUGUCAACUCCUCCAAUAUUUAAAACCACAAACCACAUAACUUAAUUUUCCAACCAUCAGUUUUUUAUUCACCCAGCCUAAAAGUCUUGAUUAUCAGUUCUGGGUCCCUGGCAAUGACUGUUGGGUACAAGCUGCAAAGCUUUGUUCUGCAGGUAGGGCUGGGCUUUUGAUUGACUAUGGGUUCCAAUAUUUGUGUGGGCAUAGGGUGUUGUCUCAGCCACUAUGUUUUCUGCAAUUGUGACUAGAGAACACCCUGAUAGCUCAGUUGGUAGAGCGGAGGGCUGUAGGAUGUUCCUCAUCUGAAACGCUGUGAUCCUGAAGUCGCCGGUUCAACUCCAGCUCCAAGCCUGUGCAUGUCAAAUUGAAAUAAAGCCAAGCCUUGUCUUUAUCUGUCAACUCCUCCAAUAUUUAAAACCACAAACCACAUAACUUAAUUUUCCAACCAUCAGUUUUUUAUUCACCCAGCCUAAAAGUCUUGAUUAUCAGUUCUGGGUCCCUGGCAAUGACUGUUGGGUACAAGCUGCAAAGCUUUGUUCUGCAGGUAGGGCUGGGCUUUUGAUUGACUAUGGGUUCCAAUAGUUAUGUGGGCAUAGGGUGUUGUCUCAGCCACUAUGUUUUCUGCAAUUGUGACUAGAGAACACCCUGAUAGCUCAGUUGGUAGAGCGGAGGGCUGUAGGAUGUUCCUCAUCUGAAACGCUGGUUCAACUCCAGCUCCAAGCCUGUGCAUGUUAAAAUUGAAAUAAAGCCAAGCCUUGUCUUUAUCUGUCAACUCCUCCAAUAUUUAAAAACACAAACAACAUAACUUAAUUUUCCAACCAUCAGUUUUUUAUUCACCCAGCCUAAAAGUCUUGAUUAUCAGUUCUGGGUCCCUGGCAAUGACUGUUGGGUACAAACUGCAAAGCUUUGUUCUGCAGGUAGGGCUGGGCUUUUGAUUGACUAUGGGUUCCAAUAGUUGUGUGGGCAUAGGGUGUUGUCUCAGCCACUAUGUUUUCUGCAAUCGUGACUAGAGAACACCCUGAUAGCUCAGUUGGUAGAGCGGAGGGCUGUAGGAUGUUCCUCAUCUGAAACGCUGUGAUCCUGAAGUCGCCGGUUCAACUCCAGCUCCAAGCCUGUGCAUGUCAAAUUGAAAUAAAGCCAAGCCUUGUCUUUAUCUGUCAACUCCUCCAAUAUUUAAAAACACAAACCACAUAACUUAAUUUUCCAACCAUCAAUUUUUUAUUCACCCAGCCUAAAAGUCUUGAUUAUCAGUUCUGGGUCCCUGGCAAUGACUGUUGGGUACAAACUGCAAAGCUUUGUUCUGCAGGUAGGGCUGGGCUUUUGAUUGACUAUGGGUUCCAAUAGUUGUGUGGGCAUAGGGUGUUGUCUCAGCCACUAUGUUUUCUGCAAUUGUGACUAGAGAACACCCUGAUAGCUCAGUUGGUAGAGCGGAGGGCUGUAGGAUGUUCCUCAUCUGAAACGCUGUGAUCCUGAAGUCACCGGUUCAACUCCUGCUCCAAGC